UGGUCAGCUCCAGGCCACCCCAUUACAUACUCCAAAAUGUUUCCUUUCCCCCCCUUCUUCCUCCAAAAUAUAGCAUUUCUCCCCCAACAUGACGUUGGUCUGAGAUACAUGACAAAGGCAAUACUCAAUGCUGGACUUGUAACAGUAUAAUGGCCAAAUCCUGAGUAGUGUAAACUGUCAUAGCUCUAUUAAAACCAACAGAACUACUCCAAUUUAUACCAACUGAGGAUCUGGUCCAUCGUGUUCAUAUAUCUCUGAGAGGCAGCAUGACCUAGUGGACAGGGCUCGGAACUGGGAAUCAGGAGGUGCAGCUCCGCCGGUGAUCCGUUGUAUGACCUUGAGCAAAUCACUUCACCUCUGGUUCCCCUCCCACCUUUCAUCUAUUUAGACAAAUAUCUUUGGGGCACAGUCUGAAUCUCACUGCACAUGUGCAGCACCUCGCACGAUGGAGCCCUGAUCCUGACUGGGGCCUCUAGGUGCUAAAGUAAUUGCAUUAUAAUAAUCAUCAUCUCUGUGUGCAUAUGCACGUACAAACCAGUGAAUGUGUGUAUGUGUUCACUUGUGUGUGUGUGUUCCUAGCUUUGUGUGGGUGUUUAUCUCCCUAUGUGUAUGUGCAGGGCAGGGGGAGAUGGCAAUCAAAGAGUUAUUAAAUGCCAA